UACGUAGGGUGCAAGCGUUAAUCGGAAUUACUGGGCGUAAAGCGUGCGCAGGCGGUGAUGUAAGACAGUUGUGAAAUCCCCGGGCUCAACCUGGGAACUGCAUCUGUGACUGCAUCGCUGGAGUGCGGCAGAGGGGGAUGGAAUUCCGCGUGUAGCAGUGAAAUGCGUAGAUAUGCGAAGGAACACCGAUGGCGAAGGCAAUCCCCUGGGCCUGCACUGACGCUCAUGCACGAAAGCGUGGGGAGCAAACAGG
rnacentral:rRNA from 1 species